rnacentral:lncRNA from 1 species
AUCAUUCUCAGCUAGAAAUCUCCUUUCUCAUGGAUGAGUUUGCUAUGCCUCCAACGUUAACACAAAGCCCUUCGUUCCAUUUUCUGGCUGAGGGAAGAGGGGAAGAGGGAGCUUCUCAGGAGCAGGUCAGUGGCAGCUCCCUUCCCCAGGAUCCUGAGUGCCCCUUUGAUGCCCUGUCUUCUGAUGAUAGCACUUUGUUGGAAUCAAGGACUGUGCCUGAGAAGGGUGAGCUGGACAAUAAAAGUGUCCCACAGGCUGUUGCCUCCUUGAAGCAUCAAGAUUACACCACCCCCACUUGCCCAGCAGGUAUCCCCUGUGCUCUCUUUGCACUGGUACCCGAGUCA